GGAGUUGUAGCUCAGUGGUAGAGCGCUUGCCUCACGCAUGGGAGGCAUUGGGUUUGAUUCCCAGCACCA
rnacentral:tRNA from 1 species